AGAGUUUGAUCCUGGCUCAGGAUGAACGCUAGCGGGAGGCCUAACACAUGCAAGUCGAACGGGAUUGAGAGCUUGCUCUCAUGAGAGUGGCGCACGGGUGAGUAACGCGUAUGCAACCUACCUAUAACUGAGGGAUAGCCCAUAGAAAUGUGGAUUAAUACCUCAUAGUUCUUUUGGUCCGCAUGGAUUGAAAGAUAAAGCUCCGGCGGUUAUAGAUGGGCAUGCGUGACAUUAGCUAGUUGGUAAGGUAACGGCUUACCAAGGCUACGAUGUCUAGGGGUUCUGAGAGGAUGAUCCCCCACACUGGUACUGAGACACGGACCAGACUCCUACGGGAGGCAGCAGUGAGGAAUAUUGGUCAAUGGGCGCAAGCCUGAACCAGCCAUCCCGCGUGCAGGAUGAAGGCCCUAUGGGUCGUAAACUGCUUUUAUACACCAAGAAAAACACCCACGUGUGGGUGCCCGACGGUAGUGUAUGAAUAAGCAUCGGCUAACUCCGUGCCAGCAGCCGCGGUAAUACGGAGGAUGCAAGCGUUAUCCGGAUUCAUUGGGUUUAAAGGGUGCGUAGGCGGCUUUUUAAGUCAGUGGUGAAAUCUUGCCGCUUAACGGUAAAAUUGCCAUUGAUACUGAUAAGCUUGAGUACAAUUGAGGUAAGCGGAAUGUGUAGUGUAGCGGUGAAAUGCUUAGAUAUUACACAGAACACCGAUUGCGAAGGCAGCUUACUAAACUGUUACUGACGCUGAUGCACGAAAGCGUGGGGAGCGAACAGGAUUAGAUACCCUGGUAGUCC
rnacentral:rRNA from 1 species